GACGAACGCUGGCGGCGUGCUUAACACAUGCAAGUCGAACGGAAAGGCCCUGCUUUUGUGGGGUGCUCGAGUGGCGAACGGGUGAGUAACACGUGAGUAACCUGCCCUUGACUUUGGGAUAACUUCAGGAAACUGGGGCUAAUACCGGAUAGGAGCUCCUGCUGCAUGGUGGGGGUUGGAAAGUUUCGGCGGUUGGGGAUGGACUCGCGGCUUAUCAGCUUGUUGGUGGGGUAGUGGCUUACCAAGGCUUUGACGGGUAGCCGGCCUGAGAGGGUGACCGGCCACAUUGGGACUGAGAUACGGCCCAGACUCCGACGGGAGGCAGCAGUGGGGAAUAUUGCACAAUGGGCGGAAGCCUGAUGCGGCAACGCCGCGUGCGGGAUGACGGCCUUCGGGUUGUAAACCGCUUUCGCCUGUGACGAAGCGUGAGUGACGGUAAUGGGUAAAGAAGCACCGGCUAACUACGUG
rnacentral:rRNA from 1 species